rnacentral:misc_RNA from 1 species
GAUGAAGAACGCAGUGAAAUGCGAUAAGUAGUGUGAAUUGCAGAAUUCAGUGAAUCAUCGAAUCUUUGAACGCACAUUGCGCCCCUUGGUAUUCCAUGGGGCAUGCCUGUUCGAGCGUCAUUUGUACCUUCAAGCUUUGCUUGGUGUUGGGUGUUUGUCUCGCCUUUGCGUGUAGACUCGCCUUAAAAUAAUUGGCAGCCGGCGUAUUGAUUUCGGAGCGCAGUACAUCUCGCGCCUUGCACUCAUAACGACAGCGUCCAAAAGUACAUUUUACACUCUUGACCUCGGAUCAGGUAGGGAUACCCGCUGAACUUAAGCAUAUCAAUAAGCGGAGGA